rfam:Flavobacterium frigoris PS1 66_19, whole genome shotgun sequence.
CAUUAGCCACGAUGGAAAUGAAAAUCCUUUGUUUUUCUUUUCUUUAGAGAAAAAUAAAGAUUGUAAUGUACAGCGGGACGACUG